rnacentral:rRNA from 1 species
UACGGAGGGUGCAAGCGUUAUCCGGAUUCACUGGGUUUAAAGGGCGCGUAGGCGGGUGCUCAAGUCCGUGGUGAAAUCCUCCGGCUCAACCGGAGAACUGCCUCGGAUACUGGGUGCCUCGAGGGUGGUAGGGGUAUGCGGAACUAUCGGUGGAGCGGUGAAAUGCGUUGAUAUCGAUAGGAACUCCGGUGGCGAAGGCGGCAUACUGGACCACCUCUGACGCUGAGGCGCGAAAGCCAGGGGAGCAAACGGG